rnacentral:lncRNA from 1 species
AAUCAACCAGCAUGAUUUUGGAAUCAUCUAUUUCUCCUUUUGGUUUUUAUCAGUUUCUUUGUGCAUCUAGAAGCUCUAUUGCUAUGUGACAAGCACCACAAAUGGAGCCACUUGGAACAGCGCUCCUUGCUUAUCUCCCAGUUUGGGAGAGUCAGAGGGCCAGGCACUAUCACUGGUGUCCUCUGACCAGGGUCUCCUCAGUCAAGCCCAGGCCUCACUGGUGUCCCCUGAUCAGGGUCUCCCCCAGACAAGUCCAGGGCUCAGCUCCUGGGGCUCUCAGUAACUGAAUCCCCUGCCCACUGUCCUCCCACCCCAGGCCCUUUCCAGGGCCUCGUGGCUGGACACGUGUCUGCAGAAUCAGAGGACACUCUUCAGGAAGGACUGGUCACUCCUACUAGGCAAUUUCCUUGGUUAAAUCAGACCCUGGGAAGGAAAUCUCCCUCUUGAUCAGCUCAAGGUUGAGGCCAACCUGGAAGCCCAGGCACAUCUGCAGAGGCCUUGGUGGCCUCAGAGUGGCCGAAGACAGGACAACGCCUCAUUGGCUGCAGGCUCCUGCUGCGCUCAGGCGCCCGGGUCAGUCCGCGCACAGCCCCGGCACAGCCCAGAGUGCUGCCCUCAUGACCUGGCCAGUUGUCACAUGCCCCUGGUGAAUGGCGCCCUCAACAUCAUCCAAG